UUCCGGUUGAUCCCGCCGGACCCUACUGCUAUCGGGGUGGGACUAAGACAUGCGAGUUGAGCGUCUCUAAGCCAUGGUAGAGACGCGGCGUACGGCUCAGUAACACGUGGCUAACCUACCCUUAGGACGGGGACAACCCCGGGAAACUGGGGCUAAUACCCGAUAGGCGAGGAGGCCUGGAAUGGUUCUUAGUCGAAAAGGCGUUGAAACCAUGCUUUUCGACGUUGCCUAAGGAUGGGGCCGCGCCCGAUCAGGUUGUUGGUGGGGUAACGGCUCACCAAGCCUAUAACCGGUACGGGCCGUGAGAGCGGGAGCCCGGAGAUGGGCACUGAGACAAGGGCCCAGGCCCUACGGGGCGCAGCAGUCGCGAAAACUCCGCAAUGCGCGAAAGCGUGACGGGGCUACCCCGAGUGCCGUCCGCUGAGGAUGGCUUUUCCCCGGUGUAAUGAGCCGGGGGAAUAAGGAGAGGGCAAGUCUGGUGUCAGCCGCCGCGGUAAUACCAGCUCUCCGAGUGGUAGGGAUGAUUAUUGGGCUUAAAGCGUCCGUAGCCGGCUUAGCAAGUCUCCUGUUAAAUUCAGCGACCUAAUCGUUGAGCCGCGGGAGAUACUACUAGGCUAGGAGGCGGGAGAGGCCGACGGUAUUCUCGGGGUAGGGGUGAAAUCCUAUAAUCCCGGGAGGACCACCAGUGGCGAAGGCUGUCGGCUAGAACGCGCUCGACGGUGAGGGACGAAAGCUGGGGGAGCGAACCGGAUUAGAUACCCGGGUAGUCCCAGCUGUAAACGAUGCGGGCUAGGUGUUGGGGUGGCUACGAGCCACUUCAGUGCCGCAGGGAAGCCAUUAAGCCCGCCGCCUGGGGAGUACGGCCGCAAGGCUGAAACUUAAAGGAAUUGGCGGGGGAGCACCACAAGGCGUGAAGCUUGCGGUUCAAUUGGAUUCAACGCCGGG
rnacentral:rRNA from 1 species